ACGGGAGGCAGCAGUGGGGAAUAUUGCACAAUGGGGGAAACCCUGAUGCAGCGAUGCCGCGUGGAGGAAGAAGGUUUUCGGAUUGUAAACUCCUGUCUUAAAGGACGAUAAUGACGGUACUUUAGGAGGAAGCUCCGGCUAACUACGUGCCAGCAGCCGCGGUAAUACGUAGGGAGCGAGCGUUGUCCGGAAUUACUGGGUGUAAAGGGAGCGUAGGCGGGAUUGCAAGUCAGAUGUGAAAUAUACGGGCUCAACCUGUAGACUGCAUUUGAAACUGUAGUUCUUGAGUGAAGUAGAGGCAAGCGGAAUUCCUGGUGUAGCGGUGAAAUGCGUAGAUAUCAGGAGGAACACCGGUGGCGAAGGCGGCUUGCUGGGCUUUUACUGACGCUGAGGCUCGAAAGCGUGGGGAGCAAACAGGAUUAGAUACCCUGGUA
rnacentral:rRNA from 1 species